rnacentral:rRNA from 1 species
CCUACGGGUGGCAGCAGUGGGGAAUAUUGCGCAAUGGGCGAAAGCCUGACGCAGCGACGCCGCGUGAGGGAUGAAGGUCUUCGGAUCGUCAACCUCUGUCAGCAGGGAAGAACGGUCACUGUGCUAAUCAGCAGUGAAUUGACGGUACCUGCAAAGGAAGCACCGGCUAACGCCGUGCCAGCAGCCGCGGUAAUACGGAGGGUGCGAGCGGUAAUCGGAAUUACUGGGCGUAAAGCGCUCGUAGGCGGUAUGUCAAGUCACGGGUGAAAUCCCCGCGCUCAACGUGGGAACUGCCUUUGAAACUGGGAAACUGGAGUGUGUGAGAGGAUAGUGGAAUGCCAGGUGUAGGAGUGAAAUCCAGAGAUAUCGGGAGGAACAUCAGUGGCGAAGGCGACUAUCUGGCACAUAACUGACGCUGAGGAGCGAAAGCGUGGGUAGCGAACAGGAUUAGAUACCCGGGUAGUC